rnacentral:misc_RNA from 1 species
GAUGAAGAACGUAGCGAAAUGCGAUACUUGGUGUGAAUUGCAGAAUCCCGUGAACCAUCGAGUCUUUGAACGCAAGUUGCGCCCGAAGCCAUUAGGCCGAGGGCACGCCUGCCUGGGUGUCACACGUCGUUGCCCCCCCAUCUACUCCUUCGGGAUUGCGGGGGGCGGAUGAUGGCCUCCCGUGCGCCUCGUCGCGCGGUUGGCAUAAAUGCCAAGUCCUCGGCGACGCACGCCACGACAAUCGGUGGUUGCGAAACCUCGGUUGCCCGUCGUGUGCGGUCGUCGCGCAUCGAGGGCUCGAAAAAAUUGCCGGGCUCCGGCUCGGCUUUCAACGCGACCCCAGGUCAGGCGGGGUUACCCGCUGAAUUUAAGCAUAUCAAUAAGCGGAGA